rnacentral:rRNA from 1 species
CCUACGGGAGGCAGCAGUGGGGAAUAUUGCACAAUGGGGGAAACCCUGAUGCAGCGACGCCGCGUGAGUGAAGAAGGAUUUCGGGAUGGAAAGCUCUAUCAGCAGGGAAGAAAAUGACGGUACCUGAGUAAGAAGCCCCGGCUAACUACGUGCCAGCAGCCUCGGUAAUACGUAGGGGGCAAGCGUUAUCCGGAUUUACUGGGGGUAAAGGGAGCGUAGACGGUGAUGCAAGUCAGAAUUGAAAGCCCGGGGCUCAACUCCGGGACUGCUUUUGAAACUGUGUGACUGGAGUGCAGGAGAGGUAAGCGGAAUUCCUGGUGUCGCGGUGAAAUGCGUAGAUAUCAGGAGGAACACCAGUGGCGAAGGCGGCUUACUGGACUGUAACUGACGUUGAGGCUCGAAAGCGUGGGGAGCAAACAGGAUUAGAUACCCUUGUAGUC